AUUAAGCGGAGGAAAAGAAACUAACUAGGAUUCCCUCAGUAAGGGCGACUGAAGCGGGAAGAGCUCACCGUGUGAAUCUGUACAGGCUUGUCCUGUGCCGAGUUGUGGUCUGUAGAAACAUUGUCGGUCAGCGUUCCGGGCCAAGUCCCUUGGAAAAGGGCAGCUGAGAGGGUGAGACUCCCGUUCUUGCCUGGAAUGUGUGAUCAUGGCACAAGUUUUCAACGAGUCGAGUUGCUUGGGAUUGCAGCUCAAAGUGGGUGGUAAAUUCCAUCUAAAGCUAAAUAUUGGUGGGAGACCGAUAGCGUACAAGUACCGUGAGGGAAAGAUGCAAAGAACUUUGAAAAGAGAGUUAAAGAGUACCUGAAAUUGCUGAAAGGGAAGCGAAGGAAACCAGUGCUUAUUCUAUGCCAUUCUUCUUCUGUUGCUUGCGACAGAAGCGCUGUGGUUUAGUAUGGGCCAGCAUGGGUUUGACUCGGAGGAAAUGGCUUUGUGGGAGGUAGGUUCUUUUCGAACUGAAGACCACUUUGUUCUACUCUGGGUUGGAUCGAGGAUAGUCACUUGUGCUCGUGAUGCUGGCGAAAUGGUUUUCUUUACCCCGUCUUGAAACACGGACCAAGGAGUCUAACAUAUGUGCGAGUAUAGGGGUGGCAAACCCCCAUGCGAAAUGAAAGUAACAGUGGUUGGACCUUCUGGGGCACAAUCCGCCGGCCACAAUCCUUCGGGAGAAAGGUCUGAGUGUGAGCAUACAUGUUGGGACCCGAAAGGUGGUGAACUAUGCCUGAAUAGGGUGAAGCCAGGGGAAACUCUGGUGGAGGCUCGUAACGAUUCUGAC
rnacentral:rRNA from 1 species